CCGCACAUCCACAAGCGUCAGUAAAAAGGUGCAGUCGCACAUCCACAACGUUGGUAAAAAGGUGCAACCGCACAACCACAAACGUUGGUAAAAAGGUGCAACAGUACUUUGGAGAUGUCGGUAAAAAGCUGCAACAGCAAAUUUACAGACGUCGGUAAAAAAGUGUAGUUGUACAUUCGCAAGCGCUGGUUAAAAGUUGUUUGUAGGCAUCGGUAAAAAGCUGUAGUCGCACAUUCACAAGUACUGGUAAAAAGUUACAGCCACACAAGUACAGGUGUCGAUAAAAAAGGCCACGCCAUUCUGUUUUUCUGCGCAUGUUCAGAGAUCUGUUAGAAGAAUACGAGUCAAGCCGACUUCGAGCUAUUUUUUUGAGCUGACUUUGAGCCGUUUUAGAAUCGAGUUUGAGCCGUUUUAGAAUCGAGUUUGAGCCGUUUUACAGCAAAACCCGA
rnacentral:lncRNA from 1 species